rnacentral:lncRNA from 1 species
CAAUCGAUUCAGAAUCGUUUGUUUGAAGCAAAUAAUAUUGUUUGAACGUUUGUUUGAUCAUUGUUUAUCCGAGAAAUUAAUAAAUCAAAUGUCAAAAUCCCGCUGUGACGCUUAGCGACGAACAUAACCUUGUUGUGUCCGUGUUGUGAGUGUGGCAAGACAGAAAUCGAAGAAUGUUUAAGGGACAAAUGCCAAUGGAUAAAACGUCUCUGGAGAAAAGCAGACAGAGAAUUACGAAAAUAAAGUGUAUUGCGACAUGCGAGUCGAAUCCGCAGCAAUCAAAUUGCAAGAAAUGUUUCACAUGCACCAAUCGAAUGCGAAGACAAUCAACUUCAGUGUUGAUUGUAGGCCCUGGAUGGUUAGACGCAACCACAACAUGACAGGUCGAAAGUCGUCCGUUUGUCGAUGGUGAUAAUAAGUUGCCAAUCGAAUUUGCAAUAGAGAAAAUUAGUGAGAGAUUCGGAAGGAGCAGUCGCAAGUGCACGCAACUGACUACUGACUCUUCACUAUGUGGCUCAAGAAUGUCCAUCAUUGUUGCGCAGAGGUCUCCUGGAAAUGUUCCCUGAUCGUGUCGAAGUGGCCUUAUCGCAGUUGACCAUUGUAACCGUUAGUCAAAAGUUAAAUUCUCGAAUUCACCGGUGGUGCAGAGAAGUGGAAACUGAGAAGCUGGCUAUAUUCGAAGUUCGAGCAAUCAGCAAUCAAGUAACGAUUUUUGCUGAAGUCUUGCAACCGCUGGAAAACACAAUGGGAUGAUUCAUGGAACGGAAGUCAUGAUACAAGAAUUCAUAUUCUUAUUUUCACUCAUUUGUGCGCUCAUCUCAAGACUGUAGGCAGGUACAUCUCAGGACUGUGAGUACUAGAUGUCACGGAGAUACCGAAUCUGAAACGUUUCGUUGACAGGAAGAACAGAACGAGAAAACUUUCCAUGGAUUGGUGCAAAUUAUUAUAUUUCAAGUUAUUUCGGUGACGCUCAAGAAGAAUCCAGAAUCAAAUUCCGCUAAAUUAAUUUGCCAGUCAUUAAAGGCCAAAGAUAUGAGUAAUAAAAUUACAUGAUAAUAUCAGUAAUAAUAAUUUGAAUAAAAACGAUGAGAUAAAAUUAAUACGAUUGUAUAAAGAGAAGAUCAUGAAUUUUUAUAUAUGCUGUUCUAUUAAAAUUUCUGUUUAAUUCAAAAACGUUUGUCGCAUUUCACUUUUUGCUACGAGUAUUCUUUUGAACUAUUUUCCAUUCGUUUCUUCGAAAACAUUAACUUUUUACUCGCACUUUAUCUUUUAUAACGCUUUUAGUUAAUGAAAUUUCACUCAAACACUUACUAAAUUUCGUUUUCAACGAUCAUCUAGCACCUGAUCUAGUGGGUCAAUAUUUGGAAAGAGACAGUAUUACGAACCACGAGGAGAUCGAGUGAGUUAUACGAGAACCGACGCAAUAAUUGGUGAUCGAAGGGACGUAUCUAUGUUCACGUCUGUCAUAUGGUGAAGAGCGUUCAUCAAUUGCAUAACGGGAAUUGGGGGUGUGUCGUCUCUCAUGGACCUUCAACGCUCGAGCUCAGCACGGAUGUUUACAACAAAUUCCUCAACAUUUGUUUAACGAACCAGUUCUUUGUAGUCCGGGUGGUACUAUCCUCUCGGUCGAGGAAGUCAAUUUUUGCCAGAGUCGGGAGCCUCAGAUGGUGAAGACGAUGGCAACGGCGGCUCCUGAAAACCAAAUGCUAAUUUAUUGAUUUUCCCCCGUAUAAAUAAUGCGAAGAGACUAUCCUGAAUUUUCUUUUCUAUAAUGAUAAAAGAUAAUCAUAAUAUAAUAAUAAAAGCGAUUGCAGUA